rnacentral:rRNA from 1 species
UUCCGGUUGAUCCUGCCGGACCCUACUGCUAUCGGGGUGGGACUAAGACAUGCGAGUCGAGCGUCUCUAGCUAUGUUGAGACGCGGCAGACGGCUCAGUAACACGUGGCUAACCUACCCUCAGGACAAGGACAAACCCGGGAAACUGGGGCUAAUACUUGAUAGACGAGGAUGCCUGGAAUGGUUUCUCGCUUAAAGGGUCUUGGAAACAUGCUUCCAAGUCGCCUGAGGAUGGGGCCGCGUCCGAUCAGGUUGUUGGUGAGGUAACGGCUCACCAAGCCUAUAACCGGUACGGGCCAUGAGAGUGGUAGCCCGGAGAUGGGUACUGAGACAAGGACCCAGGCCCUACGGGGCGCAGCAGUCGCGAAAACUCCGCAAUGCACGCAAGUGUGACGGGGCUACCCCGAGUGCCGUCCGCUGAGGAUGGCUUUUCCUUGGUGUAACUAGCCAGGGGAAUAAGGAGAGGGCAAGACUGGUGUCAGCCGCCGCGGUAAUACCAGCUCUCCGAGUGGUAGGGAUGAUUAUUGGGCUUAAAGCGUCCGUAGCCGGCUUAGCAAGUUUCCUGUUAAAUUCAGCGACCUAAUCGUUGAGCCGCGGGAAAUACUACUAGGCUAGGAGGCGGGAGAGGUCAACGGUACUUCCGGGGUAGGGGUGAAAUCCUAUAAUCCCGGGAGGACCACCAGUGGCGAAGGCUGUUGACUAGAACGCGCUCGACGGUGAGGGACGAAAGCUGGGGGAGCGAACCGGAUUAGAUACCCGGGUAGUCCCAGCUGUAAACGAUGCGAGCUAGG